rnacentral:rRNA from 1 species
UACGGAGGGGCUAGCGUUGUUCGGAAUUACUGGGCGUAAAGCGCGCGUAGGCGGACCUGCAAGUCGGGGGUGAAAGCCCGAGGCUCAACCUCGGAACUGCCUUCGAUACUGCGGGUCUCGAGUCCGGGAGAGGUGAGUGGAAUUCCUAGUGUAGAGGUGAAAUUCGUAGAUAUUAGGAAGAACACCAGUGGCGAAGGCGGCUCACUGGCUCGGUACUGACGCUGAGGCGCGAAAGCGUGGGGAGCAAACAGG